GCCUCACUCUAGUGGCGCAGCGCGUCUAUAAAAGCGGUUCUGCUUCUCGGCGCCCAUUUGCUUUUGUGUCGUAGGAGGAGUUGGUUUGUUAGUGCUUCUGUGAUUGCUUUGAAGUGACAAAAUCGUCGUUAAAGGCAGCUACCAAGAUGGUGGAAGCAGACCGUCCUGGAAAACUCUUCGUCGGUGGCCUUAACACUGAAACAAAUGAAAAGGCACUUGAAGCAGUGUUUGGCAAAUAUGGAAGAAUAGUUGAAGUUCUUCUAAUGAAGGAUCGUGAAACAAACAAAUCAAGGGGUUUUGCUUUUAUUACUUUCGAAAGUCCAGGAGAUGCAAGGGAUGCAGCCAGGGAUAUGAAUGGAAAGUCUUUGGAUGGAAAACCCAUUAAAGUAGAACAGGCUACUAAACCAGCAUUUGAAAAUAGUGGACGACGUGGACCACCCCCACCCCCAAGAAGUCGUGGUCCUCCUAGGGGAAUUCGAGGUGGAAGAGGAGGUAGUGGAGGAAUGAGAGGUCCACCUCAAAAAGUGACUUCCAGAGGGCCACCAUUGAAACGGGGUCCCCCUGGCCGUGCCAAUGGACCCCCACCGAAAAGGCUUCCUCCUUCAGGUCCAAUGCGAACUGGAGGGAUGGGAGGAAGAGGAAGUGGAUCAAGAGGGCCUCCCUCACGUGAAAGGGACAGUUAUGGUUCACCUCCAUCCCGCAGAGAGAUGAUGCCAUCCAGAAGAGAUGAUUAUAUUCCCAGAGAAGAUUACUACUACAGAGACAAUUACUCUAACAGAGAUUACCCAAGCUCUAGAGAUGCAAGAGAUUAUGGUCCACCACCAAGGGAUUCGUAUAGUUCCCGUGAAUAUUCCCAUUCAGGUGGCCGUGAUGAUUAUGGAUCGCGAGGCUAUAGUGAUCGUGAUGGAUAUGGUGGACGUGAGGCACGUGACUAUUAUAAUGAUCGUCCAAGUGGUGGCUCCUAUAGAGACUCUUAUGAUGGCUAUGGAUGAGGAUAUAGAAAAUGGUUCUUGAACAUUUUUGAUGAGGAACUGUCCAGCUGUUGGGUGAUGAUAUCCUGAGUUGAAUCAAAUGGAAGAUCAUUUAUCCAGAUCAGAAGAAAUCUGGAUUUAAGUGAAAUGACCGUUGAAAGUACAUAGCGGAGCAGCAUAAAGGGUGGAAUGGUGAAGAGAGCUUGAACUGCAUUUGACCUUCUGAUGAGCUGGAACGCUGUUUCCUUAUAGUACUACCGAGAACAAAAAAAGGCACUUUUUUUCACACAAAAAAAGGAUCUGUACCCCACCAUGUUUUUGAAGUGCAUUCAGGUGUUACUAUGUUGUACUGUAGAUAUUAAAAGCAGUUUGGUUUUCUACAUUUCUUCCAUUGUUAACUUGUCCUUUCCAGUUGUCUUUAGCAUUUUGGCGAUUACUGUGACGCUUUCAUUCCUCAUGCCUAUAGUAACUGUCAAUAAUUGCCCUCUUUGGGCUGUUAAUUCAUCUGCAGUUAGAAUUAAUCUGAUACACACUUGUUUCCAUGGGGAAAGUAGUCUGUAAGGUGUAAUACUGAAGAAUGAGAUGAGCUAAUCUUUACUACUGUGGUCUUUGCUUUCCCAUGUCACAGGGUUUGAGUCUAAUUUUUUUGAGAUGUUGUUAGAAUAUCACUGGCAUAUGUUGUAGUUUUGUGUGGGCACGUGGCCAAGUGGUUAAGGCAUUGGACUAGCGACCAGAAGGUCGUGAGUUUGAGCCCCAGCCAAGGAAACAUGUUGUGUCCUUGAGCAAGGCACUUAAUCACACAUUGCUCUGCAAUGACACUGGUGCCAAGCUGUAUGGGUCCUAAUGCCCUUUUUGGACAACGCUGGUGUCGUGUCAUGGGCAGCUGCUGGUCUUCCAUACAACCUUGCCCAGGCGUGCGCCCUGGAGAGUGAAGACUUUCCAGGCGCAGAUCCAUGGUCUCACAAGUUAACGGAUGCCUUUAUUUAUUUGUCUUGUGGCAGCUGUAUGUUCUAAUAGAAAAUAGUAAAACAAUAAGUUACAUUAGAUAUAUAAAAAAGAAAUGCAAAAUGAGAGGAAUGUUCUCCACGGUACUUCUGCAGAAAUUUGAGAGUCUUUGAUGACUUGCCAAGUUUCCUUAAACGCAAUUUAGCCACUACCAUGGCUUCUUUGUAAUUGAAUCAAUAUAUUGGACCCAGGGUAGAUCUUAAAGAUGUUGACACCCAGGAUCAUUCCAUACUAAAACUUUCUUGAUAUUAUUCUUUAGUUGUCCAUAUCAAGAGCUUUGGAUACCAAAAGUGUGGGACAGAUGAGAGUAGAGGAAUAGUUUUUCAUGAAUGGGUUGUGGAUGAUGCUAGCAAGUUAUUUGGGCUGGUGGGUUCUUUCUGGUGAGCUGAUGACACAACAUUUCACUACUUCCAUUUCUGCUUUUAGGUCCUGUGACUCUUAAUUAUUUUUGUAACCUGCUAUUAAUCUAGGUUCUGUUACUCAUCCAGAAAAGUCACCAUUUGUUGCUUAUCCCUGGUUAUCCAGAAGGGCAAGUGUUUGACAAUUAAUUUGGAUCAUAAGACAUUUAGAGCAGAAUUAGGCUAUUCAGCCCAUUGAGUAUGCACUGCCAUUCCAUCAUGACUGACCAAGGAACCCACUCAACCCCGUACAUAUGCCUCCUUGAAAUAUCCUUUGAUGCCCUGACCGAUCAGGAAACUAUCAGCUUCCACCUUAAAUGUACCCGCAGACUUGGCCUCCAUGAUAGUCUGUGGCAGAGCAUCCCACAGAUUAAGAGAAAAUGUGCUUGCCUCUUUCUAAAGGGUCACCCUCAAUUCUGAGGCUGUACCCUCUAGUUCUGGAUACCACCAACAUAGGAAACAUCCUCUCCACUCCCACCCUAUCUAGUCAUUUCAAUAUUCGGUAGGUUUCAAAGAGGUCCCAAUGUAUUGUACUCACUGGAAUUUUUCUAAAUUCCAGUGAGUACAAACCCAAAGCUGUCAAAUGCUGCUUUUAUGUUAACCCCUUCAUUUCCAGAGUCAUCCUCAUGAACCUCAUCUGGACUAUAUCCAAUGACAACACAUACUUUCUGAGAUAUGGUGUGCAGAACCAAUGGCAGUACUUAUGUGCAGCUUGAUCUCUGUCUAUUAAAGCCUCAGCAUUGUCUCCUUGCUUUUUUAUUCCAUCUCCCUUGAAAUAAAUGCCAACAUUGCAUUUGCCUUAUUUACCACACUCAAACCUGUGAAUUAGCUUUUUGGGAGUCUUGCAUGAGGACUUCUAGUCCCUCUGCACCUCUGAUGUUUGAACCUCCUCCCCAUUUAGAUAAUCUGCACUAUUGUUCCUUUUACCAAAUUGCAUUAUCGUACAUUACCCAACACUAUUCCAUCUGCCACUUUUUGCCCAUUUUUCCAAUUUGGCCAGGUCCUGCAAAUGUAUUGCCUCCUCAGCACGAUCUACAUCUCUACCUAUCUUCAUAUCAUUGGCAAAUUUUUGCCACAAAGCCAUUAAUUCCAUUAUCUAAAUUAUUGACAAACAAUGAAAAGCAGUGGUCCCAAUACUGAGCCGUGAGGAAAAUCACUAGUGACAGGCAGCCAGUCAGGAAAUUUGUGAAGGAUAAUUUUUCUGAAGUUGAGUAAAGCGCUUUAAUUUUUUUUUAAUUGAUCAUUGGGCAGGAUAGAUAUUUGUACUUAGAACUUGCCUUAGUGUUAAAGGAAAAAGGUUUAUUUUCCAAAAGUUCAAAUGUGGUAUGGAUGUGAAAUGACAUGCAGAAAGCCUUGUGUGAGAUUUAAGAUGGAUUAUUUAAUGGCAUUUCCCAUAGACAAGUGUAAAAGAGAACAAAAUAGUUAUUCUGGACCUGUUGCAGCACAGAAAACAAUAAGAUAACACAAUGUAUAUGGAUUAUGUGUUCAUAAGUUACGCCAGUCACAAUUGUACAUAAGGUGACUGACAAAUUGAGAAAGUGGUGCUUGGGGGUGUGGAAGGCUGGGUUAGGUACGUAGGAUCCUUCACCAUGUUUCUGGCACCUUGAUGGUAGUGGGCUUGUGCCGGUAAUGCCUUGGGCAGUUUUGACUUCCUGUCCACCACAUGUUAGGGUGCUCUCUACUUUGCAUCUGUAGAAUCAUGUCAAUAUGGAUGACAUUGUCCAGCUCAGCUCUCUUCAGCCUCCUCAGAAAGAAGUGGUGUUGGUGAACUUUACUGAUUGUGUAUAAUGUGUUCUGGGACCAAGAGAGGAUGUGAGAUGUGCAAUCCCAUUGCUGUGCCACCAAUGUAAAUCAGGUACGAGUGGUGCAACUUCUCCCAAAAUUAAUAGCCAUCUCCUUUGUUAGGCUAUCACCAGGUCUCAAGCUCUUCCACCUCAUCUCUAUAGGCAAUUUUGUUGUUGAUGAGUCCCAGCAUUGUUGUGCACUGGUGAACUUGAAGAUUGUGAUUACUUGGGUGUUUGGUCAUGUAGUCAAUGUAUGAGCAGAUUCAGACAAUGGACUCAGCACACAGUUCUGUGGGACAUGUGAAAGAUGUCAGUAAGUACUUGUCCUGGGAUGUUGUCUUGCCCAGCUGUCUUGAUUUUUUGGCUGGCAUUGUGUUGGAUGCCUCAAAGUUUGCAGAAACGUUCAUCAGGGAGGAAGAGAUGUCUGUGGUUUAGUUGAUGCUGUUUUUCCUUGCAUAGUCAGUAGUAUCCUUGACCCAGUCAUGUAUGUCAGGGAUUAUUAUUGUGUGUAGGCAGUCUUUGCUGUAUUGAUGUCAAAGGUGAGGUUUCUUCUGGCCAUUCUGAGGGAUUGAAGAUGGCAUCCCAGGCUUUUCGUAGGGACUGCACCUCUGUUCAGCCAGGGCUUCUGGUUGGGCUGUUCUUGAGGUACAAUGUCUACACAUUUACUGAUGUAGCUGGUGUCAGAUGAGGUAUAUCCCUCAAGGUUUGUGUCUCCUGUUUGUGCCUCCUUGAACAUCUGCUGGUUCAAAGCAGUCCUGAAGCAUACAAAUUGUUUCAUUAGGCCAUAUAGUGAUAGUCGUUUUCAUUCUUCAUUUUCAGCAGCAAGGUGUGUUGUAAUUAACAUUAUGGAACUGUCAUCAGAAAGGCCAAGAUGAGGGUGUAGGAUGGCUUUGUAAUUACCACAUCUGUUUGUAUAAACAUGGUUCAGUCCAUUUGUUCUCCAAGUGGCCUUGGUGACAUGGUAGAAUUUGGGUAAAAUGUCCUGCGGGUUAAUUGGAGUCUGCUGCAAUGACUGCCCAGAUGCUUGCUUUUGUAGAGAGCUGAUGAUUCUGUAAAGCUUAUUGGUGGGGGGGGGGUGCGGGGGGAGAUGAUGUAGUAAUUUCCCUGGGUAGGUAAUGUUGCUGGCAUUUGCAGUGCCUUGCACAAGUUUUUAGCCCCCAACUCUUGAUUCACUUAAGUACUAAUACCAGGGAUUUUGAUCAAUUUAUCUGACAAUUUUUAUUUGUGAAUCACAUGCUCUUUUUUUCCAUAGUAGAUGACAAAAGAACAGGUAGAAUUGUAAAGCAUGAAAAAUCAAAAUAUUCUGUAAAGUAAUCAUGCUUUCAAAAUAAACUUAAUUUCUAAAAAUUUACUAUAAAGAGCAGCAAACAAUAAAAAUCUGAAACAAAUCAAUAUUUGUGUGACU